rnacentral:rRNA from 1 species
AUGAACGUUGGCGGCACGCCUAAUACAUGCAAGUCGAACGAGAAAGCACUUCGGUGUGAGUACAGUGGCGGACGGGUGAGUAACGCGUAGGAAUCUACCUAGUAGUGGGGGACAACUCGAGGAAACUCGAGCUAAUACCGCAUACGCUCUUAGGAGGAAAGUGGGGGAUCUUCGGACCUCACGCUAUUAGAGGAGCCUGCGUUAGAUUAGCUUGUUGGUGAGGUAAAGGCUCACCAAGGCGACGAUCUAUAGCUGGUCUGAGAGGACGAUCAGCCACACUGGAACUGAGACACGGUCCAGACUCCUACGGGAGGCAGCAGUAGGGAAUCUUGGGCAAUGGGCGAAAGCCUGACCCAGCGAUGCCGCGUGUGCGAAGAAGGCCUUAGGGUUGUAAAGCACUUUCAGUCGUGAAGAAAAGCUACGAUUUAAUAUGUCGUGGUCUUGACGUUAGCGACAGAAGAAGUACCGGCUAACUCCGUGCCAGCAGCCGCGGUAAUACGGAGGGUACGAACGUUAAUCGGAAUUACUGGGCGUAAAGCGCGCGUAGGCGGUUUGAUAAGUGGGAUGUGAAAGCCCCGGGCUCAACCUGGGAACUGCAUUCCAAACUGUCAAACUAGAGUGUGGUAGAGGGCGGUAGAAUUUCCUGUGUAGCGGUGAAAUGCGUAGAUAUAGGAAGGAAUACCGAUGGGCGAAGCAGCCGCCUGGACCAACACUGA